rnacentral:rRNA from 1 species
CGCGUAGGCGGCUAAGUAAGUCGGAUGUGAAAGCCCAGGGCUUAACCUUGGAAUUGCAUUCGAUACUGCUUGGCUAGAGUAUGGUAGAGGGAAGUGGAAUUUCCGGUGUAGCGGUGAAAUGCGUAGAUAUCGGAAGGAACACCAGUGGCGAAGGCGACUUCCUGGGCCAAUACUGACGCUGAGGUGCGAAAGCGUGGGGAGCAAACA